AGUGAACGCUGGCGGUAGGCCUAACACAUGCAAGUCGAACGGCAGCACAGUAAGAGCUUGCUCUUACGGGUGGCGAGUGGCGGACGGGUGCGGAAUACAUCGGAAUCUACUUUUUCGUGGGGGAUAACGUAGGGAAACUUACGCUAAUACCGCAUACGACCUACGGGUGAAAGCAGGGGAUCUUCGGACCUUGCGCGAUUGAAUGAGCCGAUGUCGGAUUAGCUAGUUGGCGGGGUAAAGGCCCACCAGGGCGACGAUCCGUAGCUGGUCUGAGAGGAUGAUCAGCCACACUGGAACUGAGACACGGUCCAGACUCCUACGGGAGGCAGCAGUGGGGAAUAUUGGACAAUGGGCGCAAGCCUGAUCCAGCCAUACCGCGUGGGUGAAGAAGGCCUUCGGGUUGUAAAGCCCUUUUGUUGGGAAAGAAAAGCAGCAGGUUAAUACCCCGCUGUUCUGACGGUACCCAAAGAAUAAGCACCGGCUAACUUCGUG
rnacentral:rRNA from 1 species